CACAGAAUUCAAUUUUUUAGUUAUUUUUUUUUUCCGUGAUUGUCUCUUCUCUGAAUUAACUCUCUUUUCUCCAGUGCCAGGUAUUCUUCCAUACGGAGUUCUUGAAAUUUGUUUUUAUUUGCUGCGUUGCUGUUAAUAUCGGUGCUGAAUGAGUCACAUUUUAUUCAGGAAGAGAAAUGACUCUGGGAACGUCUUUGCAGGAGGUCAGGAGACACGCUUUCCCCCACGCCGCCUUCAGUUUCUCGGAGAAGAACCUCUGGGGUUUGGCACUGAGGAUUAUCAGCCUUGCUUGCUUUCCACGUUGGAUAAGGAUUGAGGGGUGUCAGUGCUGGUUCAGUCAGUUUCGUCCUCGGCCCCGGCCCUGGCAGUGCCUUCUGACUCCCAGCCGAGGGCCCUUCCUGACCUCUUCUCAGCUCCUCAACCGCAGGGCACUGCGGGGCAGGCCCCUGCCCUGCCUGACCUUCAGAAAUCGGUUGAAAUCUUAAAAUAAGAAAACAAGGAAGUUUGCUGCAUCGAUUGACUCUUUUCUGGAAAGAUUUCUCUGUAGCGUGCAGCGCUAUGCACUGGAAAACAACAAAGAAAGAAAAAGAAAUGUGUUGAAAUCACUCCUUAGUUGCCGCUGACCCCUCCACACUGUUGUCAGCCUGGAUUGUACUUACAGACUUUAUUUCACGGAGGCUUAGGGCCAGCGGGGGCAAGUGCAUAUGUCUAAUCUGCCAUUCCACUCAGAAAGUUUUGCCUGCUUUUUAAGGCAUGUUGGAGUACAUAAUAUGGGCCUCUAUCAGAUCUUUGCACCCUGACUUUUCGUAACGGUACAGUGAGUGCACAAAACUGUUCAGUCAAGCUUGCACUGCCUUCUGAACUGAGAUGCUCAUUUCUGAUUCAGGUGCUCUGUAGCCCUUGGAGGACCAUUCUUCUUCCUUUCUUCCCCUAUGUAUUUGAAUAAUUCAUCAAGGCCAAAUUAAUUCCAUUUCCUUCAUCAAGGUGAAUUCAGCUAUUUGUAGCAUUCUCUCUUCUCUGAAGUAUAAUUGAACUAUGAUUACAUGAUAAAGACAUGUCUAUACUAGACAACCUGGUACUACAUACACUGUUGGUUAUAUAAUUAUUCAUGUGUUCUAAUUAGUUAAGUUACAUUCUACUAGAUUCCAGAAGUUCUUUAAGGGAUGCCACGUAUAAACUCACUGCAGUUAGAUUUACUCAGCUAAAGCCAAUGUCUCUUUUAGGGCAUAGCAUGCUGCUGGAGACAUGAUAAAAUAUUAAUACGCAAAUGUAGAAUUUAUUCAUUACAUAAAAUUUACACUGCAGUCUACACACGUACACACACACACACACACACUCUUUUCAUCUUGCUCAUUUUUAUUUUCCUUUCCUGAGUUUUCCAGACAAAAUAGCUGAAGAAGUCAAGAAAAACAAAGGAUAAUAGAAAGUGGCAACAGACAUUAGUAGUUGACACUCACCUAAUCGUUCCUCUUUUCCUUCUUUUCAUCACUUGUGCUUAUCUUUACUUGCACAACAAUGAGCUCUAGAAUUCUUCCAAGGUAGGUUGUGUGAAUAGUUAAAUGAGCAUGCUUAUCAGAGGCAUUCAUAGUGUGCCAUCUUAAUGAAAUUCUCAUAAUUUUUCCAGUUUGAAUAUGUUGUAUAUGCUGUUUUAAAUUUUUCUGAGAAAUAACUGUCUGCUGAGAAAUAGUAAAAUGAAACUCUUCAUUUUGAUGAAUGGAAAAAGAAAUGGGAGUGGUGUCUGCACUGCCAGACAGACUAUAUCUCUACUGCCAGACACCCCGGGACAUUGCUGUGGGUUUUUGACAGACUCCUUGCAUUAUUGAAGUCAAAUUCUUUCCUAGUAGCACACACCUUUCCAACACGAAUCUAUGUUGAAAAAUAAGAAAGCCUGUCUUCCUGUUGUUAGCUGGGGCACCCCUGCAUCUUAGAAACUACUAUUUUGUUUGUUAGGCAGAAGCUCCUGGGUAGCUGCCAGUCUCCUCUGUGGUGUCUGAGCACUGACCCUUGAACAACGUCUGUGACAUAGUAUUAAGGGAUUUCUAAAGACCAGUGCAUGCUUUGGUUAUUUUUCUUAUCUAACCGUCAUAUUAAAACUGAA
ensembl:lncRNA